GGUCUAUGAUAUUUAGAUUACACAAGGUAAAGGUACAUUUGGUUACAAUAUUUACUCAGCAUGUAAAAAGUAUAUAGGUUAUCUACAUUUUGAAAUUGUUACCAACAUGGUCACAUUUUCCUACACAUUAUCAACAUCAAUAUGCUCAUACAGGUGUAGUUUCAAUAACCUAAUUUUAGGUCACAAUGACCUAUUCUACAUGGAUACUGAGAGACUACAAUAAUGCAUAUAUAUACCUAUAUUCAAUUUUACAUGACCCUUGUACAUUUACUUGCCGAAAUACUUGAGGUCACCCCCUAUAUAAUCACAAGUUUUGACUAUUUUGUCCCAAAUGUCAAGUCUUCCUCAUAAAAAAUACAAAAAUUGUUGAGGUGGUUGAACUAAAAAUAUUCAAUCCCUUUCAAAACUUGAAGAAGUCUGUUCAUUCAUUCAGGAUUUCCUGUCUAAUGGUAGAUUUUGGUUUCCCUCCUUGCUUCUAGAUCAUCCUCUAGGUGUUUGUUUUGUUUACACAUUCUAGAAAAGAAGCUUGUUACUUGCUGUACAGACAAUAUCUCAUCAUAAGCAAACCUCCUUGUGCCAUCAGAAUUUUUGACAUGCAGCAUAUUCUCUGAAACAUUGAAGGGAUCUUCCUUUCUUCCCGUUUUGAGACCUAGCUUUGUCCAAUUUUUCAGUUAAGUAGUCUUUAUGGUUUUAAUUAAAGCGCUUGGAAUUUCUUUCUGUCUUGA
rnacentral:lncRNA from 1 species